AUUACCCCCAUAGUUUUGCCCAACUGCUAACAAAUUUGCUGAUGCGAUCAGAUCUGAGUUACCCCCAUAGCUACUUAACCAGUGGUGUUGGUUUAUUGAAAUAUAACAGGUACAGUGGUACUCACUGUUGUAUACACAUUAGUUCUUAUGAAUCGAAGCUUCAGCGUAGUGGAUUUCUAUACAGCUCACCAGCCGGGGAGUGUAUGCUGCUUGCAGUCAUUUAGAGGACAUUCAGGAUGACCUGAGAAGUGCACCAGUGGAACUCACAUCAUAUUUUUCAGUUGUAAAUGAAAGAACAUCCAUGCUUAGGCAAGCACCAGCCAUCUCCCAAGAAAUGACCUCAACUAAAAAUGCACAACUGUAAAACUUACAGCUUCAUCUCAGGGAUCUUCAUGAAGACAUUGAGACUCACCUGCCAGGGACCACACACAUGGAGCCUUUCCUCACACGAUUACAUGGGUCUCUAUACUGUAUUACAAAGGGCAGGGCCGGAUUAACAAUGGGCCUGAUGGAGCUGCAGCUCCAGGCCCUUCAUCAAAAUAGGCCCACAGCAUUCUGAGGAAUGUUUUUUUACUAGCUACAGUCAGCAUCCUGCCAGCGCAGCCACCGGAGCCCCACUUCCCCUGCCAGCGCAGCCAGUGGAUCACUACUCCCCCUCGCUGCCAGCAUAGCCGUCGGAUCACUCCUUCAGUUCUCCCCCCUCUGACAGCGCAGCCACUGGAGCCCCCCUGCCAGUGCAGCCUUCAGAUCACUCCUCAAGUCCUCUCCUAAUUGCCUGCGCAGUAACCGGAGGUUCACUCAGUCCUUCCCCUGCUGCCAGCACAGCCGCCGGAUCACACUCCUUCAGUCCACCCGCCUCUGACAGCGCAGCCAGCGGAUUACUCCUCCCCCGCUGCCAGCUCAGCCACUGGAGCCCCCCCUCCUUCUGUGGAUCAACAUCAGCACACUGUGUGGCAGCGCAGCGGUAAACUUCUCUUGCACUUCCUGUGCGCUGCUACAUUACUAGUGUCUUAUGGCCUCCUACGGACUUUGUGAACCAACACAGGUGCUACCACACCACCUAAACACAGCUACACGGAGGUAGUCCGGCUCAGGUGAAGUAAUUACUGAUCGGGCUGGCUCCAGGCCCGUGUGGACCUUAAUCUGGCUCUGACAAAGGGUUUAAAGCCUCUAGUGCUGGUCGACAUAUGC